GGUGGGUGUAGCUCAGUUGGUAGAGCACCUGGUUGUGGUCCAGNNACCGGACGCCGCGCCCCGGCAAACCUUUCCGGCCACAGCACUA
rnacentral:tRNA from 1 species